rnacentral:rRNA from 1 species
UACGAAGGGGACUAGCGUUGUUCGGAUUUACUGGGCGUAAAGCGCGCGUAGGCGGAUCGCUAAGUCAGGGGUGAAAUCCCAGGGCUCAACCCUGGAACUGCCUUUGAUACUGACGGUCUGGAGAUCGGGAGAGGUUGGUGGAAUUCCGAGUGUAGAGGUGAAAUUCGUAGAUAUUCGCAAGAACACCAGUGGCGAAGGCGGCUCACUGGCCCGAUACUGACGCUGAGGUGCGAAAGCGUGGGGAGCAAACAGG